ACGGCCUUAUCACGAUUAAACACCGGUUUACGUACGAUCACCGAAGUUAAGCAACGCCAAGCCUGGUCAAUACUUUGUUAGUUGACUACUUGGGAACACCAGCU